rnacentral:rRNA from 1 species
UGGGGAAUAUUGCACAAUGGGCGGAAGCCUGAUGCAGCGACGCCGCGUGGGGGAUGAAGGCCUUCGGGUUGUAAACUCCUUUCGACAGGGACGAAGCUUUUGUGACGGUACCUGUAUAAGAAGCACCGGCUAACUACGUGCCAGCAGCCGCGGUAAUACGUAGGGUGCGAGCGUUGUCCGGAAUUACUGGGCGUAAAGAGCUCGUAGGUGGUUUGUCGCGUCGUCUGUGAAAUUCCGGGGCUUAACUCCGGGCGUGCAGGCGAUACGGGCUGACUUGAGUGCUGUAGGGGAGACUGGAAUUCCUGGUGUAGCGGUGAAAUGCGCAGAUAUCAGGAGGAACACCGAUGGCGAUGGCAGGUCUCUGGGCAGUAACUGACGCUGAGGAGCGAAAGCAUGGGUAGCGAACAGG